AAAUAUGACCUUGGCCUUUCUGCAAAAAAAAAACUCUACAAUAAACCAUGGCAUCCAAUUCUUCUCAUUUUCCCAACCCUAGGUCUAGAUGGAAAUCAAACAGGCCCUAACUACCAAACAAUCUACCAGUUGUUCUACAUGGUUUUGCUGAUUCUACAUUGUGCUACCAGCAAUGCAAUUCUUGUCACGUCAAGAUACAAAGACGUCAUAAUGCGAGCUAGAGUGGUACACGAUUUAGAUCCUAGUGGCUUCCGCUACGAUCACGCGAGGUGGAUUUAGAUCCUACUAGUGGUUUCCGCUACGAUCACGCGAGCCCCCGUCGGGCCUCGCCGCCGCCGCCGCCCGCACGGACAGCGACAGCACAUUCAGAUCCGACCGCUCCGUCCUCAUAGCCUUCCCUUGUUCUCGCCGGGCGGCGUGCCUCUCGUCGUCCUCGUCGUGUUCUUGCUCCUCCUCUGCCCCAUUUCCCUCAUCCCCUCCCCCGUGCCCGUCCUCGCGCGACCUCUUGCUCCCUAUCGCGACGCCGAACAGCAUCGGCUUCGCGCCUGCGGCGCCGUGCCUCUCGUCCUCCUCCCCCACUUCCUCCCCGCCGUGGUCAUACCGCCAGACGAGGUGCCGCACGCCGUCGCAGACGCGGCGCGCGCGCGCGAGCUCCCGCGCCAGCCUCGCGUUCUCGCGCCGCAGCCGCGCGUUCUCCUCCUCCAGCUCGGCCAUCGCGCCGGUGGCCACCAGC
rnacentral:lncRNA from 1 species